rnacentral:misc_RNA from 1 species
GUCAUAACAUCCUAAUUUAUAUACCGGCCAUCUAAGGCAUGUUUUCAAAUCAUUAAUAAGACCAACCCACACAGGAGAAAACAAAACCUAUAAACCAACUUAGAAGAGAAUCCCGGAACCCUUGAAGCCAGUCCUAAAAAGAACAAGAUAAACCACCACACCCUUUAUUGCCAGUGCUACCCCGUUAGAACAGCAUAAUGGGUUCAAGGGUUCAGUGAAUUGGUUGAUGAUUUUAUCCCAUUAGAACAAGAAAAACAACAUCCUGGCUUCGCCUCCACAUCUCUUCAAGACCAAAUUCAAAGGAUGAUGCUUUUACAAUCCCAAAUGCCACUAUUAAAGCUCCUACCCGAAUUUCAACCCUAGAAAACACCAUCCAACUUAAAAAUGAUGGAAAAGAAACCCAGAUGAGGAUAAAAUCGAUGUCUAAAUCAUUUUCCACAAUGGGUAAUACCAUUCCACAUAAUCCAUGAUCUUCCAUAUGUUUAAAUAAUAUAGUUUGCUAAUCGAACUCUCGACAGGAGAUAACACGUCUCUACUAAAAAAUUACAAACAUCAGUUGGCUUUUAUAGCUAUCAUCAUCAGAAAUUUAACUAGAAAACAUAUGGGGGUCAUGGUUUUGAUACAUACCUUAAUUUAUCUCAAAGUACCAGAAGAAUAUAUAAAACAGUAAAAUUUAUAUAUAUUCCUUCCUGCCGAAACACCAAGUUCCCUCCAUCAGGAAACGAAAAGCUUGGUUCUCUUCUCCACCUCCCUCAUUACAAGCCUUAUCAUUCUUGAUUACACAGCUAAAAUACUUGUCUUAAUAAAAGUUUGUUGAACAUAUGCUUAGCAGAUAAAAAUUCCCUGUUAGCAAACAUAAAGACUGUUUCACCAUCAGCUAUAGCUAAUGCUAUAGUAUCAUUUUUAAUUUUUAGGACCAAUGUCCU